rfam:Rattus norvegicus chromosome 10, whole genome shotgun sequence.
GGGGAUUUAGCUCAGUGGUAGAGCGCUUGCUUAGCGAGCGCAAGGCCCUGGGUUCGGUCCCCAGCUCCG